rnacentral:rRNA from 1 species
GACGAACCGAGCGAACGUUAUUCGGAAUCACUGGGCUUAAAGGGCGCGUAGGCGGGCGCUCAAGUCAGGGGUGAAAGCCCCCAGCUCAACUGGGGAAGUGCCUCUGAUACUGGUCAUCUCGAGGGAGGUAGGGGCGUGCGGAACUUCCGGUGGAGCGGUGAAAUGCGUAGAUAUCGGAAGGAACGCCGGUGGCGAAAGCGACGGACUGGACCUCUUCUGACGCUGAGGCGCGAAAGCUAGGGGAGCAAACGGG